rnacentral:tRNA from 1 species
CAAAAAAUAGUUUAAAAAAAAUAUUAAUUUUGGAGAUUAAAGAUAUAUUAAAUAUUUUUUUGA